AGAACGAACGCUGGCGGCAUGCCUAAUACAUGCAAGUCGAACGAACACUUCGGUGUUAGUGGCGCACGGGUGCGUAACGCGUGGGAAUCUGCCCUUGGGUUCGGAAUAACAGUUGGAAACGACUGCUAAUACCGGAUGAUAUCGAAAGAUCAAAGAUUUAUCGCCCAGGGAUGAGCCCGCGUAGGAUUAGCUAGUUGGUGAGGUAAAGGCUCACCAAGGCGACGAUCCUUAGCUGGUCUGAGAGGAUGAUCAGCCACACUGGGACUGAGACACGGCCCAGACUCCGUACGGGAGCAGCAGUAGGGAAUAUUGGACAAGUGGGCGCAAGCCUGAUCCAGCAAU
rnacentral:rRNA from 1 species